GAAUUUUUGACAAUGGGGGAAACCCUGAUCAAGCAACGCCGCGUGGAUGAUGAAGUAUCUCGGUACGUAAAAUCCUUUCGACAGGGAAGAAGCCUUCGGGUUGACGGUACCUGUAGAAGAAGCCCCGGCUAACUCCGUCCCAGCAGCCGCGGUAAUACGGGGGGGGCAAGCGUUGUUCGGAUUUACUGGGCGUAAAGGGCGCGUAGGCGGUUCGUUAAGUCGGAUGUGAAAUCUCUGGGCUCAACCCAGAGCUUGCAUCCGAUACUGGCGGACUAGAGUGCGAGAGGGGAAAGCGGAAUUCCUGGUGUAGCGGUGAAAUGCGUAGAUAUCAGGAGGAACACCGGCGGCGAAGGCGGCUUUCUGGAUCGCAACUGACGCUGAGGUGCGAAAGCGUGGGGAGCAAACAGG
rnacentral:rRNA from 1 species